UACGGGGGGUGCGAGCGUUGUCCGGAAUCACUGGGCGUAAAGGGUGCGUAGGUGGGUCUGUAAGUCAGUGGUGAAAUCUCCGGGCUUAACCCGGAAACUGCCAUUGAUACUAUAGAUCUUGAAUAUCCUGGAGGUGAGCGGAAUAUGUCAUGUAGCGGUGAAAUGCUUAGAUAUGACAUAGAACACCAAUUGCGAAGGCAGCUCACUACGGGAUCAUUGACACUGAGGCACGAAAGCGUGGGGAUCAAACAGG
rnacentral:rRNA from 1 species